rnacentral:lncRNA from 1 species
UUGGACACUUGAGGAAUAGGCUUUCUGCCAGGGUAAAGGAGUACACUGUGAAAGGCACACUGUAACAUCCACAACCAAAUCCUCUGAAGUCCUGUCAGGGCAGGCCGAGCGUUCAUACACACUGUCAAGAGAGAGACCUCAAGCACAAAUUACAGAGAAAGAAAACAAUCUGGCUUAAAUCUGCUCCAUCUGUCUCUCUUUUUAGGCUCCAGACUAUAAAGCGGAAGGCAAGGUACUUCUAUGGAAGGGUGUGCUCUCACAGAUGGAGCAAUGAUGGAAUAUUUGAUCCAUUCCAACCAGGCGCUUGCAUCUUGGUGUCCUGUCUUAAUUGCCAAAGGCUGACUGUUGGGGUGAUCAGACUCAACACUAGGUCGUGGGGGCAACGAAGUCUGGUGGAGUCAAAGAAUUGAGAAAAGACAGAGAGAGAGAAGUGAGGCCAGGGGACCAUCAUGAUUGUGGAGGCUGCAAAGGCCCUGAGCUCUAGGAGCCCACGCUAUUUAUUGGUAAUCCAACAAAGAAACAGGUGGUGAGAAUGUGGAGGUCAAAAGGGUGCAUUGCAUUAAGCACAUGAUUUACAGCUGUGAUGGUUUAGCAUUUGCUCUUCUACUUGAGAUAAUGGAAAGCAGGUUCUUUUAACUCAAGAUACAAUCGAUCCUGGAGAGCAAGGAGCAAGGAGCCAGCAAGUCUAGUCACAUUCCAGAACCAUGAGCCCUGGAUUCUAUCCAAGCUAUGAGGGAUUUUAUGCCCUGGGCUUAGAUUAUGGUGUGUCAGGGUAGCCUUCCACCCUUUAGCACAGAGCUUGAUGUUCCAAAGACCACAAGGGGUUUUAGACCUGGGACCCCGGACAUAUUCCAAGACUCUUUUACAUUAUGUCAGACAUGCAAGUCCUGCCUCAGCUUCUCCCAACACUCAGCUUUUUCCCAACAGCUGACUAGUAUUCAAUUGUGUAAAUAUACUACAUUUUAAAAAAUUUAUUUAUCUGUUGAUGGAGGCAUAGUUUGCUUCCAAAUUUUGGCUAUUGUGAGUAAUGCUGCAUUGAACAUGAGAUUAUAGAUGUCUCUUUGACAUAUUUAUUUCAAUUUUUUGGAUAAAUACUCAGAAGUCAAAUUUCUGUAUCACAUGGUAGUUCUAUUUUUAAUUUUUUGAGAAAUCUUCAUUUUUUUAAAAAUAAUGGUUGCACUAAUUUACAUU